GAGUACUUACAGUAAGCUAUUACUACCAAAAUAACUACACAGCAUGCUACUGACCCAAAUGAUCUCACAUAAUUCAGGGGAAACAACUUAGAAGAUAUAAUAAACCAGAGUCUUUUUUGUUGACAGGAACUGCACAUCUACAAAACAUCAUAUGACUAGUGAAGAACGAAAAGUUUAGUGGUGUUUGCAUUCUCACAGGUAGCACACACACACACACACACACACACACACAUGCACGCACGCACGCACGCACGCACGCGCGCGCGCGUGCGCGCGCGCACACACACACACACACACACACUGUUUCAGUCAUUCUCCAAUCUUGCAAUGUACUCAUCGUAGAACUUGCCUGCCUUCUCGAGCUCACCAACUUCGGUGUAGCAAUCGGCU
rnacentral:lncRNA from 1 species